rnacentral:misc_RNA from 1 species
GAUGAAGAACGUAGCGAAAUGCGAUACUUGGUGUGAAUUGCAGAAUCCCGUGAACCAUCGAGUCUUUGAACGCAAGUUGCGCCCGAAGCCAUCAGGUUGUGGGCACGUCUGCCUGGGCGUCACAUAUCGUUGCCCAAUGCCUAUUGCAGUGCAAUAGGAAUUUCUAGGGCGAAUGAUGGCUUCCCGUGAGCGUUGUUGCCUCGCGGUUGGUUGAAAAUCGAGUCCUUGGUAGGGUGUGCCAUGGUAGAUGGUGGUCGAGUUAGAACGAUACCGAUCAUGUGCAUGCUCCCCAAAAUAUGGCCUCUAUGACCCACACGCGUCUUUUGACGCUCAUGACGAGACCUCAGGUCAGGCGGGGCUACCCGCUGAAUUUAAGCAUAUCAAUAAGCGGAGGA